AUAGGAAAGAAACCAAAACCCGAAAGUGGCCUUGUGCCAGCCCGAGCACUUGGGUUCCCAGCAAAAGACACAAGGUACAGCCCCAGUUGGAAACUCCCAGCCUCAAUGAGGAAAAACGGGGUUUUCCAGAGACCUGUCCCCUUGAGGUUUAAAAGCGUGUCCCGUGGGAGCUUCGCUUUCGCUUCUCUAAGGGGUUGGAGCUGCAAGAGCCCAGAUCCUCGCCGAUCCCGGGGCACCUGUUCGAUCUCUGAGUUAAUCACUGGGGCACCUUCACCUCCCCGCACACCUCCUUCUCCUGGUCACCUGCGUCCUCCCCUAGCGCUUCCUGUGCACCUGGACCAGGACCAGAGGAGGGCGCGGAGUCCCAAAGCACCGCAGAAGGAAUGAGUUAGCCUGAAUCGGGGCGAUUCGAGGCAAAGACUUUCCAGAUGACCUCUAAACCGCCUUGGCAAAGGCGGGCGACUAGGAUCUAAAAGCAUCGGUUGCUAAUGUGUCCACAGAAGCCACAGAUGUGUAGGGCGAAAACUGGGCUAUUGCAAGCGGACGCCAGGGAGGAGGCGUCGCAGCUCUUGCCGCGGAUGUGGUGGUGGACGACGCCAAGUCAGUCGUCUUGUUUAAAAAAAAAAAAAGGAAGUAAAGAAUGAUUAAGAGGGCCACGGGCCACGCCCUCAGCCUCUCUAACCUCUCUAGUCUCCUUCCUCUCUGUCUUUUGUACAUGCACCUGCCCAGGUGAGACCUCAAAGAAAAAUAACUCGGUGUGUCCACCUAAUCUGGUAAGUGCUAUCUUUGGACCUGAUAAUCAAAGCCCAAAUUAGGUGGAGAAAGUGGAGACUGACAAUAGAUGGUAACAAUGACUGCCUCGUGUGCAUUUAUCUGAAUUGGCUAAUAAAUCAACUUAUCUAUCUUGACUGUCUGUUACAGAAGGGUUAAUUUUUUUUUCUAGGUCUGAAUUAUUUAGGUAUUUUCUGUUUUCAUUUGAUUUCUGAUAUUCUGCAGAAAUCCUGCUUAAAUGAAGGUGGGUAAUGUAAAGUAAUCACAGUGAUAAUAGUGUUAUGGCUAUCAUUUAUCUAGCAUUUGCUCUGUACCAGUAUUGUGCUAAGUCUUUUAUGUAUGUCAUCUCAAGCAAAAUUUUCUGUGUGGUAGACAGUUUUGUUAUCUGCGCUUCACAGACGUAGGAACUGAGACUUCCUUAAGUAUCUGCCAGAUUCACUCUGCUGGUUAGUAACAGGGUUGGGACACAAACCUACUGUAAACCAGCUCUAGAGUCCGCACUUGGACCCCUGUGUUAGAAGUCCUGUGAACAAUGUAGACAUUGAUGCCAGGAGAGAGACAGGGUCACAUAUCAUGUGAAUGUGCCUUUGCCCCAGUAUGGGGACCUCAGGGAAAAUUUCUGGAGUUUGUGAAUUCUGAAUUGAGACCCGAGCAGGUCAAUUAACUUGGCCAUGUGAACAUUCCAGCUGCUAUAGUGUGAAUGAAGAAAAGAGGAAAAGAAAGAAGGGAGAAAAACAAUGAAAUAGAGAGUGAGGCGGUGUUGCUUAAGCCUGAAACUUGGAUUCCUAUUUCUCUUUUAGUCUCACUUCUCACAUCCAACCCACAGGCAAGUCCUGUCAACUGUACCUCUAAAAUAAAUCCCGAAUCUAUUCUGUGAAUUGCCUAAGGGUAAACCAUUAAAACCCUGCUGUCUAGGGGAUCUUCCAGCUUUCACUCUUGCCCACAACCCUUUCAUUCUCUUCAUAGCAGCAGCGUAUUUAUUUACAUUUGCCACCCUCUGUGACCACUCUCUGGCCACUUCCCACUGCACACUGGGCUUUCAAGGCCCUGUGUGAUCUGGGCCCCACUGUCCUCUGUGACUCCCUCUGGUACCCAUGGCCUUUGUCCUCCCUGCGUUCAGCCAAGCUGACUUCCACUUAGAACAACAUCUAGCACACAGCCAUGCAGAAAGUAACGGAAUGAGAGGGGACAACUGAGUGAGAUGCAUGAGCGAGAACAUGUGUGGAAGGGAAAGUAUGUGAAGGCAGGAGGGGAAUAGGAGGAAAGGGGAAGAGAACAAGGGAAACAAAUGAGCACAGGAGGCAGAAUGUGGUGGGGAAAGCCAAGUAUUUCCAUCUGACUGGAACCUAGCCUGGAGGUGGGGAGCAGAGAAACAGGAGGCCAGAGUAACUGGUAAAAAUGAAUGCUGUAACUAAACACAACUAGCUUGGCUAUUGAUUUAUUUAAAAUCCCUGACAGCAACAUUGAGGUAUGUAAUUGCACACAGCCUGCAGGUUUUUAAAAUUGUUUUAACACUUCAGGGACAGAUAAAAGAGCAUCCACCAAUAACUUGCUCAACAGGAAAUCCAUCUUCCUUUUUCAUGCAAUCAUCAUAAAACCUGGUUGAACAAGGGCUUGUGCAUAACUGAACUUUUGGGGAGCAUGAUUGGAAAUUAUUCAGAGCUCCAGGAGAGAAGAUGUAAAUUCCACACUGGACUCUGACCCCAAACGUGAAGAAUCACUCUGAAGACAAUAUUCGUAAAGCGUUUGGCAUUUUUAUUGUUAUAUGAAAAUUGGCACAUUCUAACUACAUCAAGUUAUUUUCUUCUAUGACAGAAUUAAUACCAUUUGAAAAAAAAUCCAAAUGUAGUCUUAAAUGCGUGUUUGCUAUUUUGAUAAACUGAACAUUAUUUUUCAUAAGACAGAUAGAUAGGGAAAAAAGAAAUGUUUUAUGAAUUUUUAUAUGCCAAUGUUUUAUAAUAGAGAAAUGGAGUGGUUACCUUUAUGUUCACUCGUAGACACAAGAAUUGUGCAGGAAAGCCAAUAUGUAAACAAAGUAGUAUAUAGUUUAUGAAUUAUAACCAAUAAAUAUUAAGAAGGAAGACAUUUUCAGAAUGAUUAGUACAAUGUACUGAAAAAAAUGGAAACAAAGCAAUAUGAAUAUCAACUUAAAGAGAGAAUUGUUAAAGAUUAACUAAUGUCUUUUUAAAUGUUCUACAAUCUUCAAUCUAAAUAGUUUAUUAUGGGUAACCUAAAAAUCUUUUCUUGAUAAUUAUCUGUAGUAUUUUUACCCAACUUAAUACAACCAUUCUUUGUAGUCUGAGAUCUGAAUGCUAGAUAUCAUUCUGUCUAUAGAUAUUUUCUGAAGUUCCUGUAACUUAAUUUUCCAGGCAUAAUAUUCAACAUAUUUCAAACACACACACACACACACACACACACACACACACACACGAAGGACUUCUUCAUGGGCAUGUGUUCUGUAUAGAACACAUGGGGCCUGUGCUUAGAAAGGGCUCUGGGUUUGAUUUAAUGCUCUGCAGUCACUGUCUUGAAAUUCUUAAUUAUUUUUGGACAAGGAGACUCUCAUUUUCACUUUGCAUUGGAUCCCACAAAUUCUAUAAUUGGUCAUGCAUACUCACACAUAUUAAGCUACACAUGGUGAAUAGCAAGGCAUGUCUUCAGGUGGUUUCAGUCUGGUGGAGAAAACAGAUGUUAAACAUGUAAUUUCAAGGAUAAAGAAUAUUAUGUAAAGGAAAUUUUGAGAUGUAUUUCAAAUCAGAGGAUUAAAGCAGUCUAGACUAAUUUUAAAAAUUAGUGGAACUAGCCUCCAGAAUAGGUUAAUUUACAUCCAAUGGAAAGAUAGCUAUAAGUGAAUAACCUAUAAUUCUAAAUCAGAUAUGUUUGAUUUUCAAGCCUGAGCUUGAGGAUGAAUUUUAAGUUUUGUCAAAUGACUGCCUAGCAUCUAUUUACAUGGUAAUGUUUUUUUGUUGUUGCAUUCCUGAAUAAACCACAAAUUUACCAUAA